rnacentral:rRNA from 1 species
CAAUAGCGUAUAUUAAAGUUGUUGCAGUUAAAAAGCUCGUAGUUGGAUUUCUGGGAGGGUGCUAAUGUCCGCCGUAGCGCGUGUGCAGCCGCGCCCUUCCAUCCUUCUGUUAACGCCUCUUGGCAUUUGUUUGCUGGUGGCGGGCUCAGAUAUUUUACCUUGAGAAAAUUAGAGUGUUUCAGGCAGGCUAGGCCGGAAUAUAUUAGCAUGGAAUAAUGGAAUAGGACUAUGGUCUCUUUGUUGGUUUGAGGGACUGCAGUAAUGAUUAAUAGGGAUAGUUGGGGGCAUUAGUAUUUAAUUGUCAGAGGUGGAAUUCUCAGACCAAUGGAAGACGAACCACUGCGAAAGCAUUUGCCAGGGAUGUUUUCACUGAUCAAGAACGAAAGUUAGGGGAUCGAAGACGAUCAGAUACCGU